AGGACGAACGCUGGCGGCGUGCCUAACACAUGCAAGUCACGGGGGUUGGUAGCAAUACCAAUUAACCGGCGAACGGGUGCGGAACACGUGAGCAAUCUGCCGAUUUCUGGGGGAUAGCCGGCCCAACGGCCGGGUAAUACCGCAUAUUCUCAUGAAGGGACAUCCCUUUAUGAGCAAACCUCCGGGGGAAAUCGAGGAGCUCGCGUCCUAUCAGCUAGUUGGUGAGGUAACGGCUCACCAAGGCUAUGACGGGUAGC
rnacentral:rRNA from 1 species